rnacentral:rRNA from 1 species
CCUACGGGAGGCAGCAGUGAGGAAUAUUGGUCAAUGGCCGGGAGGCUGAACCAGCCAAGUCGCGUGAGGGAAGAUGGCCCUACGGGUUGUAAACCUCUUUUGUCAGGGAGCAAGGUGCAGGUCGGGACCUGCUGUGAGAGUACCUGAAGAAAAAGCAUCGGCUAACUCCGUGCCAGCAGCCGCGGUAAUACGGAGGAUGCGAGCGUUAUCCGGAUUUAUUGGGUUUAAAGGGUGCGCAGGCGGAGGCACAAGUCAGCGGUAAAAUCGCGGGGCUCAACCCCGCUCCGCCGUUGAAACUGUGGCCCUUGAGUGCGCGAAGGGUAGGCGGAAUGCGUGGGGUAGCGGUGAAAUGCAUAGAUAUCACGCAGAACUCCGAUCGCGAAGGCAGCCUACCGGCGCGCAACUGACGCUCAUGCACGAAAGCGUGGGUAUCGAACAGGAUUAGAUACCCUAGUAGUC